UCCGUGCUAGAAACGAUGAUGUUGGUGUCGCACAUUAGACUUGUGUUUAAAUAGAGCUUUGCUCGUGAACCAAAUAUGGUGGGCUGGGUUGUCUUUGCGGAAACGCUUGGGCGACUUGUCUGCGAAUUGUAAUCAUAAUAUGGGCGGCGGUGAAUCCUUUGCAGACGACUUGAAUGGGAACGGGGUACUGUAAGUGGUAGAGUAGCCUUGUUGCUACGAUCCACUGAGGUUAAGCCCUUGUUCUAAAGAUUUGU
rnacentral:rRNA from 1 species